UUACAGGUAAUAGUGUAAAAAACAUACAAAAAUCAACACCUACAUUUAAACAUGGAGCAUAUGUGCUUUUUUAGUCUUUCUUGCUAUCCUGACAUGCUUCACUAGCUUAUUGAUUCAGAUCUAAAAAUGGACAAAUUUCUCUGUCCAUCUACUUUUUCCUUGACAACACUGAGUGACCCAUACUCAGUGGAACAGUAGAAGUCAAAUAAAUAGAAAAUUCAGCAAAAUAUCUAUUAGGGGUCAAGCCCGUUGUUGUUGUUGUUGUUAGGGGACAAGCCAAGGAUGGCCCUUCUUCGUCGCCGUCUUCUUCUUCUUCACUUUUUUAGAUGUUGCGGCCAUCCAAUUCAAAAUUACCUUAUUUAUUUUUAUUAAAAUUAUGCAUUUACUCAAUUUAAACUAGGGAUGAAAUGGUUACUGGUUUCACGAUAAAUUUCCUUGAUUUAGUAUUACUGUGUCAUAAUGACAUUAUCAUUAAUACUGUGCACAAUUAUCGUGAUUUGUAACACUCACGGUAAAUGCUGUCCACACACACCCAGCAUGGGUCUGACAUGCAACAUUAUUUUUUGAGCAUGAAAAUUAAAAACUGAACGCAUCUGCUCAAUUCAACAUGAGCCGAAUGAGUCAUUUCAUUUAUCAUGUGAGGCAAGCUGACUGACAAGAUAAGCGAUUAAUAUAAGCGAUUUUGUCAUUGUAUUGUUUUAUUGUUGUGUUUUUCAUUAAGAAUAAUAAUGAACCCACCAUUAAAGCAAUUGCCGCCCCUGAAUUGCUGCUAAUUCGAUAGUGAAAUGCGCAUGGCUGCACGAGCAUUCAUACUUGAUUUAAAAGUGAUGGUGGAAAGACUGGCAUAAAGUUGGCUUGAUGUUGGACGUUCAAUAUUCGCAAAUUAAGGGAUCGCCUCUAAAGUUACAUAUGACAUUGGUACACACAUUUCUAACUCCAAUAGCAUUUGAAGAGAAUGACUUUGUCAUAAAACCAACUGAAAUUGUUCAGCUAUAAUGUGUAGGUGACUGCUAUAACGCACACUUUUUAUUUUUUUUUAUUUAUUUUUUUUAUAUUCAAUAAAAUAAACGAUCAGAUAUAUGUAAUAAAUUGUGAUGUUUUUAUACUGUAUGAAUUCGUACAUAAAAUGUACCAUAUUUUAAAGCUCAACAGCAUUUGAAGAGAAUGACUUCGUUACAAAACCACUUUGGAGGUUGGAAAUUCUCCUGAGCGCUCUAACAGCCUUCCACCUUGUUCACUAACUGAACUAAAUGAUUAUUACUAUAAAAACGCAAAACGACAGUGGGGGGCGGUGCUGCGGUGGGCAAGUGAGGUAAUCGGUGUGCAGCCGAACACAGACACUGAUUAUCGCAGCAAGCCUAGUGACAACCAUCUAUCACUUUAUAGUCAAAUAUAAAACCUGUUUAAAUGACUUCAAUGUGUAUAUCAGUGCUUUUUAUACAUUUUCAGCAUAUUUUAACAAUACCGUAAUACUGAUAACUGUGAUAGUUUUGGUCACGAUAAUGUGCUAUGAAAUUUUCAUACCAUUACAUCUCUAGUUUAAACAUUUGAUAUGUUUUCUGUGUUCUAUUGUGAGUAACGUGAGGUUUGAUAUUUGCAAAUCAUUGCAUCCUGUAUUUAUUUACAUUUUACACAGCAUCCCAACUUUUUUAGUAUUGGGCUUGUGUUAAAUACCACAAAGAGGAUUGUAACCUGCAGACUUUACAAAGUGGAGCUUGAGUAGCAAAGAAACAUGACACUGAUGCACGAGCACAAACUUGUUUAUAUCUAAAAUGCUCCACGGUGUGCAAGGGGUUGGGCAUAUUGGUGUGAGUUGCUUAAGUUUUAGUUUAAUUCAAGUUUAUUGUCAUUAUAUGCUGUAUUUGCAUGCUUGCAGUGUAAAUUCUGUUGUUGAUUAUAACAGGAGUGAUCUAUUUGUAACAAGGCUGAGUUGCUCACCCCUUGCAAAGUAGACGCGGUGAUAAAACAGUGGUAGCACAAGUACGAUCUGUAAUAUCAAAGUAAACAUAAGGCAGAGUUUUUAUUAUUCAGUUUGGAUUGUAGUUAAAUUCAGUGUUUUUUAAUUUUUUUUGGUGCAUUCAUUUAAAAAAAAAAAAAAAAAAAUUUAUAAAUAAAUACUUAUACCCCCAUGGGGACCUGGGAUAGAAUAGGUCCCCAGCACCCCCUUGCUGAUCGUAAGAGGCGACAAAUGGGGCAACUUGUUUGCUGUGAGUUGCAACCCGUUACUGUGGAGGAAGAGGUCCUGUGGCCACACCAGGUCCAACACAGUGGACCUUUGGCUCAGACUUCACCAAGAUGGGCGGUUGGACAGGCCCGGUAUAAUCGAUGGGCUAGUCAAGUCUUGUCCUGGAGGGUGUUGGCGUAGGGUCAAUCGGGUAAUAUGACCUUAUAGUUCUCUGUUCGAGUAUAUCCCCCUGUAUCCUUGGUACAUCCCCUUGUUUGGCUCCAAGGCGGUUGGGUGAGCUACACAGAAGCACAUAAAAUGGUUGACAAAUCACCACCCUUUAAUUCAAGGAAAUCAUAUGCAUUUGUGGUAAACCCACCAUGAGCACCACCGAGAAUCAGACAGAUUUACCUUGAGUGAAUAACGAAAAACCACAACAAAUAAUAAUAAUAAAAAAUAAUAAUAAAAAAAGCUCUACUCCAUCUAAAAAGAAGAUUCAAAGCACCCAAUGACAAAUGAUUGCAAAACAGUUUCAAGCUACUGAAGAUCAGAGUACAUCAGCUGAACAUAAUCAAAGCUCAAGAGGGAAGAAGACACAACAUAGUGCAAAAACUAUCAAAUAUAAAUCAAGAAAAGAGACCUCAAAAGACGUAACAACCAAAGGAUUUUUAAUAACAGAAAACACAAUUUCUCAUAGUUGUAGCCUAUCUCCAAAAUGCAUAAGCAAAGGGCAUGUACUACUUCUACCUACCUGAUUAUGAGCUACAGUACAUUCGGAAAGUAUUCACAGCUCUUCACUUUUUCCACAUUUUGAUAUGUUACUGCUUUAUUCCAAAACGGAUUAAAUUCAUUAUUUUCCUCAAAAUACUACAAAACAAUACCCCAUAAUGACAACAUGAAAGAAGAUUGUUUGAAAUCUUUGCAAAUUUUUUUUUUUUUUUUUAUAAAUGUUCAGAAGUAUUCACUCAAAACUGAGCCUUUGCUCAAAACUUUGUUGAAGCAGCUUUGGCAACAAUUACAGCCCGAAGUCUUUUUGAGUAAGAUGCUACAAGCUUGGCACACCUAUUUCUGGGAAGUUUCUCCCAUUCUUCUUUGCAGGACCUCUCAAGCUCCAUCAGGGUGGAUGGGGAGCGUUGGUGCACAGCCAUUUUCGGAUCUCUCCAGAGAUGUUCAAUCGGGUUCAAGUCUGGGCUCUGGCUGGGCACUCAAGGACAUUCACAGAGUAGGGAUGAUAUUUGCCAGGUGAUGAGUGGUGCCUGGUUUCCUCCAGACAUGACUCUUGCCAUUCAGGCCAAAGAGUUCAAUCUUUGUUUCAUCAUGGUCUGAGAGUCCUUCAGGUGCCUUUUGGCAAACUCCAGAUGGGCUGUCAUGUGCCUUUUACUGAGGAGUGGCUUCCGUCUGGCCACUCAACCAUACAGGCCUGAUUGGUGGAGUGCUGCAGAGAUAGUUGUUCUUCUGGAAGGUUCUCCUCUCUCCACAGAGACAUGCUUGAGCUCUGUCAGAGUGACCAUCUGGUUUUUGGUCACCUCCCUGACUAAGGCCCUUUUCCCCCGAUCGCUCAGUUUGGCCGGGCGGCCAGCUCUAGGAAGAGUCCUGGUGGUUCCAAACUUCUUCCAUUUAUGGAUGAUGGAGGCCACUGUGCUCAUUGGGACCUUCAAUGGCGCAGAAAUGUUUCUGUACCCUUCCACAGAUUUGUGCCUUCAUCCAACCCUGUCUCGCAGGUCUACAGGCAAUUCCUUGGACUUCAUGGCUUGGUUUGUGCUCUGACAUGCAUUGUUAACUGUGGGACCUUGUAUAGACAGUGUGCACCUUUCCAAAUCAUGUCAAAUCAACUGAAUUUACCACAGGUGGACUCCAAUCAAGUUGUAGAAACAUCUCAAGGAUGAUCCGUGAAAACCGGAUGCACUUGAGCUCAAUUUUGAAUGUCAUGGCAAAGGCUGUGAAUACUUAUGUACAUGUGCUUUUUUUUUUUGUUUGUUUGUUUUUUAUUUUUAAUACAUUUUGCAAAGAUUUCAAACAAACUUCUUUCACUUUGUCAUUAUGGGGUAUUGUUUGUAGAAUUUUUAGAAAAAUAAUUAAUUUAAUCCAUACUAGGAAAAGGCUAUAAUGUACCAAAAUGUGGAAAAAGUGAAGCGCUGUGAAUACUUUACGGUUGCACUGUACAUCAUCCAGUGGAGCUGUCUUGGGAUAGAAGUAAUUCUGCAAAAAUAACAGCACUUAACAGCUGUCUUAACCCUACUGCCUUUUGUCUUCAAGAGACUCAUCUGGCUCAAUAGCCGUUUCUUUUUAAAAAAAAAAAAAAAAGGCUACAUAACAUUUAAUGUGCCUGGCCGAAAUGUACAACGCCCACCAGGUGGAUGAGCCAUUUUGGUAAGGAGUGACAAAGUUAUAUCCCAAUAGGUACAAAUCUGCAAGCUGUUGCCCUCCAUAAAGCUUAUUACCUUGUGCUCAAUUUACAUACUCCCUGAUGCUUCUGUAGCAUAAUGUGACCUGGACAAUCUGGCUAACCAGUUGUCACUCCCAUACCUGCUCAUGGGCGAUUUUAACAGUCACAGUUCUUUGUGGGGAGGCAGCCAUACAAAUUGAAAGGGGAAACAAAUCGAGGCAUUCAUUUAUAAUAAUGAUUUGUGCUUACUAAAUGAUUGCUUCUACACUACACCCAGGACAUGGAAUUUAUUCUGCUAUAGAUCUUACUAUGUGAGCCUGAAUACUACUUGAUUUCUAUUGGAAAGUAUGAGAUGACCUAUGUGUGAGUGACCACUUCCCUGUGAUAGUAAAGUUUACUGAAGUGGAAUUACAACAAAGAACCCCAAGAUGGCUAUUAAUUAAAGCUAAUUGGUACUCCUUUCAGUCACUCUGCCAUAAGAAGUUCAGUAUUCAAGCCCGAGGAAUUCAAGAACCUAUCAAGAGUUUCACUGACGUUCUCACUGGUCUAGCGGAAGAAUCAGUUCUAAAAACAUCAGCAAAGCCAAAUUGUAGAACUAACCCAUGGUUUGAUGAAAAUUGCAAAAAAAGCUAUUGGAGAUGGGGGGGGAUACAGAAAGGACUUUUAACAAAGAUCCCACAAUGGAAAAUCUAAUCAGAUUGAAAAUCAGCAGAGCAAAAGCACAAAAAAUUAUUAAUGAAGCAAAGAGACAGAGCUGGAAAAGAUAUGUUUUAAGUCUAACCUCACAAACGCCAACAAAGAAAAUAUGGGACAUGAUCCGAAAGAUGGAGGGCAAGGAAGGCAGAACCCAAAUACAACUCCUCAAGAAUCGAGGCUCUCUACUAACCACAAAAAAGAAAUAGCUGACAAGUUAGCAGAGACACAUGAGAGAAAUUCUUCAGUGGAGAACUGCCGUCCUGAGUUCCAAAUGAUACGGACACAACCUCCUUUCAGUUAACAUGAAACCAUAUAACCAGCCUUUUACAGUGGAGGAACUCUUAAAAGCCGUAAUCUGCCCUAACGAUACUGCUGAUACUACAAAAUUCAUUACCAGGAUUUAAAACAAUUACCCCCAAAGCAUUCUAUCAGUCCUCUUGGACAGCUUUAACACUAUCUGGAAGUCAGGAGAUGUACCAUCCUACUAUAAAGAGGCAAUAAAUCAUACCUAGGUCUGGAAUAAUGCGUCGACGUAAUUGAUUACAUUGACUAUGUAAAUUCGUCUAUUCGCCGGGAGUGCGUCCAUGUGUCACGCUGUUUGCAUUCAUUCCUAAUGUUGGCAGCUUCAGCUCCGGGCAUGCUGAUAAUCAGGCAUUAUGCCAAACAUGCAGAACUCUAUCAAAAGUGUGGGGGUUUUUAAAAGAGAGACUGAAUAAAAUGGUGCUCUGCACACUGUGUAAAACUGAAAUGGCAUUCCACAGUAGCACAAUGGCUAUACAUGAACAUCUCAAAAGAAAACAUCCUGGGGCUCUAAGAUCUCAAAAUGACGAGACAACAACGAAGAGGCAAAGCUGUGUCAGAUUUUGUUCAUAAAAAGGAAUCCACUGUAUGCGCCCUCCACAUGGCCGCUGGGCUUACUGAUGGCAUUCUCAACAUGACUGUCAAGGAAAGACUCCUUUCUACUGUGGACGGUCAGGGCUUCAGUGAGCCCUGGAUGAGGCUUUAUUUUUUUAUGUUGGAAAUUUUUAUUUGUAUAUUUGUUUAAUUGAGAGAAUAUUUGAAUAAAAUGUUGACAUAUUAA